AAUAUUGGACAAUGGGCGAAAGCCUGAUCCAGCCAUGCCGCGUGUGUGAAGAAGGUCUUCGGAUUGUAAAGCACUUUAAGUUGGGAGGAAGAGUUGUAGGCUAAUACCUUGCAAUUUUGACGUUACCAACAGAAUAAGCACCGACUAACUCCGUGCCAGCAGCCGCGGUAAUACGAAGGGUGCAAGCGUUAAUCGGAAUUACUGGGCGUAAAGCGCGCGUAGGUGGUUCGUUAAGUUGGAAGUGAAAUCCCCGGGCUUAACCUGGGAACUGCUUUCAUAACUGCUGAGCUAGAGUACGGUAGAGGGUAGUGGAAUUUCCUGUGUAGCGGUGAAAUGCGUAGAUAUGUGGAGGAAUACCGAUGGCGAAGGCAGCCCCCUGGGAUAAUACUGACGCUCAGACACGAAAGCGUGGGGAGCAAACAGG
rnacentral:rRNA from 1 species